GGACCGGUCAUUAAAUAUGGCAAGGGGAAUGGAGGAGAAAGUAGGGGGGUCCUGAAUUAUUUUUUCAUUGAGAUGGGGGGGGGGUCUUAAAAAUUACAUUAUGUGAAAGAUGGGGGUCUUCGGAUUUUUCCCAACAAAAGGAUUGUUUCUCGUUAUAUACUAUGAACAGCCAAAAGAGAUGCAUAAAAUGCCCUUUAAACUGGAACACUGGGU